rnacentral:lncRNA from 1 species
AACGGUCCAUCACAACUCUGGUCUGCGGACGCCUCCCUUGCCCUGACACCCACUUUUUAGGAUCCUACUCUCAGUUACAUAAAAUCGGAGUGAAAUCACAGCCUGGAUAUGGCUGGGGGACAGGUCCACCCUCAGCACCUGUCCAGGGUCCAGGCACGUGAACUAGGAACAUGGACAUCUGCAAAGUGCUUCCUCUUUGGUGGCAGCGGCUCCACCUCCACCCUGCAGAUGCCCUCUGAGCUCUUCCUUGAGUUGCCAGCACCUUGGAUCUCACUCCUGCUUUUCGUCUCAUUCUAAACUUAACAAGGCUGGAGUCUAUGUUCUUGUGAAAGUCUGUGCUGACCUGGGCUGCCCUUUUAACUAAGCCUGGACAGUAAGAAUCAUCUGAGGGGUGGAAUUGUCUCACUGUGGGAUCAAGCUAACCAUGCAUGCCACAGCCUGCAUUCCCUGUCCACCACAGUGCACCAUGAGAUGCUGUGUCCAAGGCCUGCUGCAACCAAGAGGCACCAGGACGGCAGUGGCUACUCCUUUUUCCUGCCUCAUGCCCUUUGACUAGAACUUUCUGGAAGCCGGGAAGUGUGUCUGUCUUGCUCUCCACUCCCUGCUCAGUGCUUUCCACUCUUCCUGACACAGAGUGGGCCCUUAAUAAAUAAUUACUGAAUCAAUAAGUGAAUGAAAGAGUGAAAACUAAAUCCUAUUACAGAAAAAAAAGGGCUAUGUCAGGCAAAAAACAGUCUAAAUUAAAAAUGACAGGAUUCCCCAAAUCAGCAAAUGAUUACUAAUGAAGACAAUACAGAGUCAUACACAAUCUUUAAUUGGGAUAAAUGUCAUGUUAAACAGUAUCCAGCUUUGCUAAAACUUUCUUAUUCCAUUUGACAAUCUUAAGUAUGUUUGGAUCUUCACAAUUCUUUGAUUUUGACCAGUGAUUUCAUCCACAGGUUCUCAGGUCAUUGUAAUAUUAUACAUGCAACCUAGAAAACUAUGUACUAGUGUAAGACAUCCCAGGCUACUUUUAUCAAUUUCUAUUAUAUAUCAAGCUUCAAUUACUUCAUAUCAGUAUGUUCCCCACAUUUUAUCACAAAUGAUUUCCAACAAACCACAAAGUUCAAGAAAAUUUAACAACACCAAUAUACCCAUCACCUAUAUUCUACCAAUAACGUUUUCCUAUGUUUGUGUUACACGUAGCUACCCAUCUAUCCAUUCAUCCUUCAUUCUUUUACUCUCAUACAUUUCACACUAGAUUGUAAAAUUCCAUGUUCGGAGGUUGAUACUUGUUUUUAUUCAGAUAUAAAAUUGAUAUUCAAUGAAAAACAAAAAUCCUAAGUGUUAGCUCACUGAGUUUUGGCAAAUGCACACCUUUAUAACCUAAACUAAAGAUACAGAACAUUAUACAACCUUAGAACCACAGAAAGUUCACCAGGUAACCCCAUCCCACAUUCCCCAGGAUAAUCUCUAUUCUGCUUUGGGUUUCGGGGGAGGUUAUUUUUUUAAACCAUCGAUUAGAUUUGCUUGAUUUUGAACUUUAUAUACGUGGAAUCUUACAUUUAGUACUUUUUUGUGUAAAGUUAUUUCACUCAGCCUGAAGUUUCCCUAAGCCUGAGGUACCAAUGAUCUGUUGCCUGUAUUAGGAGCUCAUUGCUUUUCAUAGCUGAGUAAUAUUCCAUUGCUUGACUGACCCACCAUUGAUUCAUUUUCCUGUUGAUGGGCACUGC